UACGUAGGGUGCGAGCGUUGUCCGGAAUUACUGGGCGUAAAGAGCUCGUAGGUGGUUUGUCGCGUUGUUCGUGAAAACCGGGGGCUUAACCCUCGGCGUGCGGGCGAUACGGGCAGACUUGAGUACUGCAGGGGAGACUGGAAUUCCUGGUGUAGCGGUGGAAUGCGCAGAUAUCAGGAGGAACACCGGUGGCGAAGGCGGGUCUCUGGGCAGUUCCUGACACUGAGGCACGAAGGCCAGGGGAGCAAACGGG
rnacentral:rRNA from 1 species